GAUGAACGCUGGCGGCGUGCUUAACACAUGCAAGUCGAACGGUGAAAGAGAGCUUGCUCUCUGGAUCAGUGGCGAACGGGUGAGUAACACGUGAGCAAUCUGCCCCUGACUCUGGGAUAAGCGCUGGAAACGGCGUCUAAUACCGGAUACGAGCUGCGAAGGCAUCUUCAGCAGCUGGAAAGAACUUCGGUCAGGGAUGAGCUCGCGGCCUAUCAGCUAGUUGGUGAGGUAACGGCUCACCAAGGCGUCGACGGGUAGCCGGCCUGAGAGGGUGACCGGCCACACUGGGACUGAGACACGGCCCAGACUCCUACGGGAGGCAGCAGUGGGGAAUACUGCACAAUGGGCGAAAGCCUGAUGCAGCAACGCCGCGUGAGGGACGACGGCCUUCGGGUUGUAAACCUCUUUUAGCAGGGAAGAAGCGAAAGUGACGGUACCUGCAGAAAAAGCACCGGCUAACUACGUG
rnacentral:rRNA from 1 species